rnacentral:rRNA from 1 species
ACCUUCGGGUUGUAAAGCUCUUUCAGACGGAAAGAAACGGUUACGGCUAAUGCCCGUGACUAAUGACGGUACCGUCAGAAGAAGCACCGGCUAACUACGUGC